GCCAGUGUGGUAUAGUGGUUUGAGUACUGGACUGGGACUCUGGAGAUCAAGGUUCAAUUCCCUGCUCAGCCA